GUAGGGUGCGAGCGUUAAUCGGAAUUACUGGGCGUAAAGCGUGCGCAGGCGGUAAUGCAAGACAGAUGUGAAAUCCCCGGGCUUAACCUGGGAACUGCAUUUGUGACUGCAUUGCUGGAGUGCGGCAGAGGGGGAUGGAAUUCCGCGUGUAGCAGUGAAAUGCGUAGAUAUGCGGAGGAACACCGAUGGCGAAGGCAAUCCCCUGGGCCUGCACUGACGCUCAUGCACGAAAGCGUGGGGAGCAAACAGGAUUAGAUACCCUGGUAGUCCACGCCCUAAACGAUGUCAACUGGUUGUUGGGGAUUAACUUCCUCAGUAACGAAGCUAACGCGUGAAGUUGACCGCCUGGGGAGUACGGCCGCAAGGUUGAA
rnacentral:rRNA from 1 species